rnacentral:rRNA from 1 species
AACGAACGCUGGCGGCAGGCCUAACACAUGCAAGUCGAGCGGACAUCUUCGGAUGUUAGCGGCGGACGGGUGAGUAACGCGUGGGAACGUGCCCUUUGCUUCGGAAUAGCCUCGGGAAACUGGGAGUAAUACCGGAUGUACCCUUUGGGGGAAAGAUUUAUCGGCAAAGGAUCGGCCCGCGUUGGAUUAGGUAGUUGGUGGGGUAGUGGCCUACCAAGCCGACGAUCCAUAGCUGGUUUGAGAGGAUGAUCAGCCACACUGGGACUGAGACACGGCCCAGACUCCUACGGGAGGCAGCAGUGGGGAAUCUUAGACAAGGGGGGAAACCCGGAUCUAGCCCUGCCGGGUGAGCGAUGAAGGCCUUAGGGUUUUAAAGCUCUUUCCCCGGGGAAGAUAAGGACGGUACCCGGAAAAGAACCCCCGGUAAACCCCGU